rnacentral:miRNA from 1 species
GGUGUGUGUGUGUGUGUGGG